rnacentral:tRNA from 1 species
GCUGAUAUGGCCCAGUUGGUAGAGCGCACCCUUGGUAAGGGUGAGGUCCCCAGUUCGACUCUGGGUAUCAGCACCA